rnacentral:tRNA from 1 species
CUUCCUUGACGCGGAAGAGGUCAUAGGUUCGAUUCCUAUACCACCCACCA